UCCCGCUACUAUUUAAAAAUGAUUAGCACUUCUAGAUUGCGGAGUCUUAACAUUAGGUGUCAGGGUGUGUUUGGUUGGAAGUAAUGGAGUGGAAAGGAAAGGCUAUUCUACCCAAUUUCAUUUUUGGUUCCAUUUUUUUGUUUAGAAAGGGCUUUCCUACUGAAAGCCGAUUCACUCAAUUUGAGUGAAUCCUCAUUCCCGUUGGGGGGCAAUGGAAAGGUCUUUCCAUUCAGGCCUCAUUUCUUUUUUUUUUCUCCAAAAUUUCCCCGAUAGAGAGAAGAAACCUUAGCCCGCAUUUCCUUUGCGAUUGCUACUCCAUCGAGCUCCACAAAAGCUUUUCGCUCCUCUCCUUCUCUCUUCCUUUUCUUCCUUCCCCCAAACUGAAUCUCUGCGUCUUCUUCCUUUUCGUUUCAAUCUCCUCCUCAGAUUCCGAUUUCCUUUAGAGCUGGUUCUAGCUUCACCAGUGCCUCAAUUUCCGACCAAAACGAAGAGGUUCCCGCCGGCGUCCAAUCUAAUUUCGCUGGCGUGCGAUUGGAGGAGAUGGUCGCGGCUGAUUCCGGCAAGGCCAGGCUCGAUUCUUGGAUCUCUUCUCGUGUUAGCGGAAUCAAUAGGGCUCGCGUGCAGUCUAGCAUCCGACAAGGAGGCAAAUUUCUGCAGCGAAACUUUUUGGAGCUAGCAGAAGUCUCGUAGAGAUCAUUUUGAGGUGACAGCUAUCGGGAUAUUAUUCACAAGAGAGGCAGUCUAAAUGUCUUUUUUUUUUUUUUUUUUUGGUUCUCGUUGUUCUGAAUAAUUUUUGAUAGCUUCUUUGUUGCUCGUGAUUAUACUUUUAUGCUUAGUGUUUUAGACAAGAGUUUAAAUGUACUAAUUUAGUUGUUUUAUUGUAGAAUAAUGGCUCACUUAAGAUCAGGCAAAAGUGAAACUUUGAGAAAGAGGAAGAUAGUUGCUUUGUUUUUACAUUGGUUGAAUAUUAUACAUAUUGUGCAAUAGUUCUUUCAAUUAA